rnacentral:rRNA from 1 species
AUCAUGGCUCAGGAUGAACGCUAGCGGCAGGCUUAACACAUGCAAGUCGAGGGGCAUCGGGAGUAGCAAUACUUGCCGGCGACCGGCGCAAGGGUGCGUAACGCGUGAGCAACAUGCCCGUAUCAGGGGGGAUAAUCCAUGGAAACGUGGUCUAAUACCCCAUAGUAAUUAUGUAAGGCAUCUUAUAUAAUUUAAAGCUUUGGUGGAUACGGAUUGGCUCGCGUGACAUUAGCUGGAUGGUAAGGUAACGGCUUACCAUGGCUACGAUGUCUAGGGGUUCUGAGAGGAAGGUCCCCCACACUGGAACUGAGACACGGUCCAGACUCCUACGGGAGGCAGCAGUGAGGAAUAUUGGACAAUGGAUGGAAAUCUGAUCCAGCCAUGCCGCGUGCAGGAAGACGGCCCUAUGGGUUGUAAACUGCUUUUGUAUGGGAGCAAUAAGGGCUACGUGUAGUCCGAUGAGAGUACCAUACGAAUAAGCACCGGCUAACUCCGUGCCAGCCGCGGC